rnacentral:rRNA from 1 species
UAGUCCACGCCGUAAACGAUGGUCACUAGUUGUUGGGGCUUUAUGCCUCAGUGAUUAAGCGAAAGUGAUAAGUGACCCACCUGGGGAGUACGAUCGCAAGAUUGAAACUCAAAGGAAUUGACGGGGGCCCGCACAAGCGGUGGAGCAUGUGGUUUAAUUCGAUGAUACGCGAGGAACCUUACCAGGGCUUAAAUGUAAAGUUGCAUAGACCAGAGAUGGUCUUUUCUUCGGACUACUUACAAGGUGCUUGCAUGGUUGUCGUCAGCUCGUGCCGUGAGGUGUCAGGUUAAGUCCUAUAACGAGCGCAACCCCUAUUUCUAGUUGCCAGCACAUAAUGGUGGGGACUCUAGAGAGACUGCCGGCGUAAGCCGCGAGGAAGGUGGGGAUGACGUCAAAUCAUCAUGGCCUUUAUGCCUAGGGCUACACACGUGCUACAAUGGCGAAUACAAAGGGUAGCGAAGCCGCGAGGUGAGCCAAUCCCAGAAAGUUCGUCCCAGUUCGGAUUGG